UACGUAGGGGGCAAGCGUUGUCCGGAAUUAUUGGGCGUAAAGCGCGCGCAGGCGGUCAUGUAAGUCUGGUGUUUAAUCCCGGGGCUCAACCCCGGAUCACACUGGAAACUGCGUGACUUGAGUGCAGAAGAGGAGAGUGGAAUUCCACGUGUAGCGGUGAAAUGCGUAGAGAUGGGGAGGAACACCAGUGGCGAAGGCGACUCUCUGGGCUGUAACUGACGCUGAGGCGCGAAAGCGUGGGGAGCAAACAGG
rnacentral:rRNA from 1 species